UACGGGGGGAGCAAGCGUUGUUCGGAUUUACUGGGCGUAAAGGGAGCGUAGGCGGCGCGGUAAGUCAGAUGUGAAAUCCCGGGGCUCAACCCCGGAACUGCAUCCGAUACUGCCGUGCUAGAGGAUUGGAGAGGUAGCUGGAAUUCUUGGUGUAGCAGUGAAAUGCGUGGAGAUCAAGAGGAACACUCGUGGCGAAAGCGAGCUACUGGACAAUAUCUGACGCUGAGGCUCGAAGGCCAGGGUAGCAAACGGG
rnacentral:rRNA from 1 species